AACCAGCACCUCAAGUGGUCAGGAUGAUUAUUGGGCCUAAAGCAUCCGUAGCCUGUUCUGUAAGUUUCCGGUUAAAUCCAUUAGCUCAACUAAUGGGCUGCCGAAAAUACUGCAGAACUAGGGAGUGGGAGAGGUAGACGGUACUCGGUAGGAAGGGGUAAAAUCCUUUGAUCUAUUGAUGACCACCAGUGGCGAAGGCGGUCUACCAGAACACGUUCGACGGUGAGGGAUGAAAGCUGGGGGAGCAAACCGG
rnacentral:rRNA from 1 species